UUCAUCCCGCAACGCACCGGCGCCAGAGACACAAUUUCUCAAACCCUUUCUUCACAUAAAUCUUCCCAUAUACUGACCCCAGUGGUCUGGUUAUGGUUGUGGUUACCCCGCGGUUCAGUUGAUGGCCUUCCAAAAUAGCCCUCCGGCUAGUCGAGCGGCGACCUCCGCGGAUGCGUGCAUUUUCCACAACCUAAACCCAUUCGACCGUCAGGCCGUCUAGGGGGACCAGCUCUAGAUUAGCCCCGAAUCAGUGUACCUGGGAGGGCACCUGGCGGCCGGCAUACGUGCUGGUGUUCAGCCGGUGUGUUCCUCCCGCCCCCGUGUACUGACCCCUAUCGGGAGAGCCCCCAUGGUUCAGUUGAUGGCCCUCCGAAAUAGCCCUCCGACAUAGCCCUCCGGCAUAGCCCUCCGGCUAGACAAGCGACCUCUCGAGCGGUGCCCCGGCACCUGUGGCACAUCCGGCCAUGGGCAGUUCAGGGCGUCCCGCUGGGCGCACGGUGGAUUGCACCAGGUCCUCCUCCCUGACGGGAUAGGACUGGUUCCUGGUCGUUCUUUGCUUAGUGCGCCCAGGUACAACAUAUAAGUUGUUGAGUGGCU
rnacentral:misc_RNA from 1 species